rnacentral:SRP_RNA from 1 species
GGAGGCUGGCAGCGGGUGGAAUUUUUUAUGAAUCUGGUCAGGCGGAAACGUGCAGCCAUAGUGAAAAUAUUUCAGGUUGCUGUUCAGUCUCCUUA